GUUAUUAGUAUUAUUGUGUUUUUUUACUAUUUUUUUACAAGUUCUCACAUAUUUUUUGAAUGCUUAUGAAUAUUUACAUGUGUUGUUGAGUUCAUAACAAAUCCAUGCACACUUGAUACCAUCUGUUGUCGAUUGUAGGUUGUCUUCACUGGUGGGCGUACACAACCUGGUACAAUAAAGCCCGAUGAAGGAGAGAGGCAUCCUUAUUCAGUUCUAGAUUGCCAGCCUAUACGUGAAGCUAUCUUACCUUCUGUACUCUACAUACAGAAGAUCUUGCGGCGUAAACCCUUUUUGAUUAAGAACCUUGAAAAUGUUAUGCGAAAGUUCCUUCAGUCCUUGGAGCUCUUUGAGGAGAAUGAAAGAAAGAAGCUUGCUAUAUUCACAGCCCUUACAUUCUCUCAGAAACUAUCAGGGCUUCCGCCUGAGACCGUCUUUCAGUCAUUACUUAAGGACAAUCUUGUGGCUAAGGGGAUAGUUCUUCCAUUUAUUACUGAGUUCUUCAAGGAAUACUUGGUCGAUAACAGUUUAGAUGAUCUUAUAUCACUUCUGAAGCGAGGUAAAAUGGAGGACAAUCUCCUUGAUUUUUUCCCUUCGGCAAGACGCUCUGCUGAAUGUUUCUCUGAGCAUUUCAAGUAAGUACAUCUUCUGAAUUAUUAUGAAGUUUAUUAUACCCCUAGUCCAUCUGCAAACUAAUCGCUUACCCAUUUCUUCAUUUGGUGAUUUUCCAGCAAAGAAGGAUUGGUAGCUCUUGUCGAGUACCAUGAAAAGAAAAUAUUUGAGGUGAAGCUGAAGGUAAUGAAAUCAGCUCUGACGACUCAGAUUGCAGAAGAAACUGAUGUAUCUGAAGUUAUAGAGACUGCAAAGCAACGAGUGAAAGAUGCUAACUUGC
rnacentral:lncRNA from 1 species